GUUAUAUGGUCAAGUGAAGAAGCGCAUACGGUGGAUGCCUUGGCAGUCAGAGGCGAUGAAAGACGUGGUAGCCUGCGAAAAGCUUCGGGGAGUCGGCAAACAGACUUUGAUCCGGAGAUGUCUGAAUGGGGGAACCCAGCCAUCAUAAGAUGGUUAUCUUACGCUGAAUACAUAGGCGUAAGAGGCGAACCAGGGGAACUGAAACAUCUAAGUACCCUGAGGAAAAGAAAUCAACCGAGAUUCCCUUAGUAGUGGCGAGCGAACGGGGACUAGCCCUUAAGUGGCUUUGAGAUUAGCGGAACGCUCUGGAAAGUGCGGCCAUAGUGGGUGAUAGCCCUGUACGCGAAAAUCUCUUAGUCAUGAAAUCGAGUAGGACGGAGCACGAGAAACUUUGUCUGAAUAUGGGGGGACCAUCCUCCAAGGCUAAAUACUACUGACUGACCGAUAGUGAACUAGUACCGUGAGGGAAAGGCGAAAAGAACCCCGGAGAGGGGAGUGAAAUAGAUCCUGAAACCGUAUGCGUACAAGCAGUGGGAGCCCACUUUGUUGGGUGACUGCGUACCUUUUGUAUAAUGGGUCAGCGACUUAUUUUCAGUGGCGAGCUUAACCGAAUAGGGGAGGCGUAGCGAAAGCGAGUCUUAAUAGGGCGUCUAGUCGCUGGGAAUAGACCCGAAACCGGGCGAUCUAUCCAUGGGCAGGUUGAAGGUUGGGUAACACUAACUGGAGGACCGAACCGACUACCGUUGAAAAGUUAGCGGAUGACCUGUGGAUCGGAGUGAAAGGCUAAUCAAGCUCGGAGAUAGCUGGUUCUCCUCGAAAGCUAUUUAGGUAGCGCCUCAUGUAUCACUGUAGGGGGUAGAGCACUGUUUCGGCUAGGGGGUCAUCCCGACUUACCAAACCGAUGCAAACUCCGAAUACCUACAAGUGCCGAGCAUGGGAGACACACGGCGGGUGCUAACGUCCGUCGUGAAAAGGGAAACAACCCAGACCGUCAGCUAAGGUCCCAAAGUUAUGGUUAAGUGGGAAACGAUGUGGGAAGGCUUAGACAGCUAGGAGGUUGGCUUAGAAGCAGCCACCCUUUAAAGAAAGCGUAAUAGCUCACUAGUCGAGUCGGCCUGCGCGGAAGAUGUAACGGGGCUCAAACCAUACACCGAAGCUACGGGUAUCAUCUUCGGAUGAUGCGGUAGAGGAGCGUUCUGUAAGCCUGUGAAGGUGAGUUGAGAAGCUUGCUGGAGGUAUCAGAAGUGCGAAUGCUGACAUGAGUAACGACAAUGGGUGUGAAAAACACCCACGCCGAAAGACCAAGGUUUCCUGCGCAACGUUAAUCGACGCAGGGUUAGUCGGUCCCUAAGGCGAGGCUGAAAAGCGUAGUCGAUGGAAAACAGGUUAAUAUUCCUGUACUUCUGGUUAUUGCGAUGGAGGGACGGAGAAGGCUAGGCCAGCUUGGCGUUGGUUGUCCAAGUUUAAGGUGGUAGGCUGGAAUCUUAGGUAAAUCCGGGAUUCUAAGGCCGAGAGCUGAUGACGAGUUAC
rnacentral:rRNA from 1 species